rnacentral:rRNA from 1 species
UACGAAGGGGGCUAGCGUUGCUCGGAAUCACUGGGCGUAAAGCGCACGUAGGCGGAUCCUUAAGUCGGGGGUGAAAUCCUGGAGCUCAACUCCAGAACUGCUUUCGAUACUGAGGAUCUCGAGUCCGGGAGAGGUGAGUGGAACUGCGAGUGUAGAGGUGAAAUUCGUAGAUAUUCGCAAGAACACCAGUGGCGAAGGCGGCUCACUGGCCCGGUACUGACGCUGAGGAGCGAAAGCGUGGGGAGCGAACAGG